AUGCCGCCGUCCGGGUCACAUCGCGCGGGAGUGCCGCGCACCGCGCUCGUCUUCUCCGCCGGCCGGUGCGGCACGUCCAGUCAGGGAAAGGUUGGGGCUGCGCAUUGGACCCUCGCCGCCAGCCUCUCUUGCCCCCUCCGACAACCACGGUCCACCGCCUCCUUCCAGCAACAGGCCACACCAGUCCACGCUCUCUUGGGACCUGUUGGGCACUCGGCCACCAGGGCUCCCUCGGAGUCGGGCCGGCAGGCCGCGGACGAUGGACAGCAUCAGCGUGUCGCGCCGGCUCAUGAUCGCUUGGGCCCUGUAGUGGCCUCCACUAGCAGGGUGACCUCGGAUCCACGACCGGCGGCUGAGUCUAAGGCCGAUGUGAGGGCAGCUGGGCGGAGAACUGCGCCGGGGGCGCCGUCGACAAGGCCUGCGGUGGAGCGGGUCAUCAUCCCUCGCUCCCAAGAGGUGGUGGAUGCCGAAGAGGCGCUUCGCUGGGCGCUGGUCGGUUUGGUCACAGGCGGCCGUCCGAGGGUUUCAAUGAACGCGGUCACCAUGCUGGUUGGUAGUUUCACCGUGCACCGCUACUGGCCGACUGACUUCCUGCUCGUCUUCGACUCCAGGGCGGCGCAGGACGCAGCGAUGAGGGCUGGUGAAGUGCACGACCGAGGCUUUUCCCCGAGAUUCUCGCUGUGGAACAGGCAACUGCAGGCCACUCGGCGGCCAUUCCACUAUCGUGUUCGCGUCGACAUGGAGGGCAUUCCGCCGCAUGUAUGGAACCGCACAACAGCACAACUUGUUCUCGGUUCGUCGGCGUGGGUGGAGCGCUUGGGCACGCUCACUGCGAGCCGGGCGGACAUGGGCAGCUUCGAGGCCUUUGCGUGGACUGACGACCCCUCCCUGCUGCCAAAAGAGAAGUUGAUACUAGUGGAGGAGCCAGACGAGGCCAUGGAGGUGGAGCUCACGGAUGGCCUAGUCCUGACGGCCGACGUGCUGGUUCCGCUGGAGAAGAACAUGCUGGAGUACCGGGUUACCAUUCACCUGGUGAACUCAGAGAACACGACGCAAGGCUCUGGUCCAUCCUCUGGAGACGAAGAUGAUGAUGAGGACGGCUUCGACUUCCCGCAGGCUGAUCCAGACGGCCCUGGCGGCGCGCGCAACACCCGCCGCAGAUUCCAUUUCUCGCGUGGCGAGGUGGACGGCUCUCGCCAACGGGGAAGGCGGAUGUCCAGGCAUGGGGACGCAGCUGGUCAUAGGAGAUUUGUGAUUGAUCUGCCAACAUUGGUGGAAGCAUGGCCGGCACGGCGGAGGGUGGCCCUUGCCGGAGAGGAAGCGGUCGGAGUGGAUGGCGUGGUGGCACACGACGCGGAACCCCGCCAAGCGAGGUGCUGA
rnacentral:rRNA from 1 species